GGACGAACGCUGGCGGCGUGCCUAAUACAUGCAAGUUGAGCGCUGAAGGUUGGUACUUGUACCAACUGGAUGAGCAGCGAUCGGGUGAGUAACGCGUGGGGAAUCUGCCUUUGAGCGGGGGACAACAUUUGGAAACGAAUGCUAAUACCGCAUAAAAACUUUAAACACAAGUUUUAAGUUUGAAAGAUGCAAUUGCAUCACUCAAAGAUGAUCCCGCGUUGUAUUAGCUAGUUGGUGAGGUAAAGGCUCACCAAGGCGAUGAUACAUAGCCGACCUGAGAGGGUGAUCGGCCACAAUGGGACUGAGAAACGGCCCAAACCCCUACGGGAGGCAGCAGUAGGGAAUCUUCGGCAAUGGACGAAAGUCUGACCGAGCAACGCCGCGUGAGUGAAGAAGGUUUUCGGAUCGUAAAACUCUGUUGGUAGAGAAGAACGUUGGUGAGAGUGGAAAGCUCAUCAAGUGACGGUAACUACCCAGAAAGGGACGGCUAACUACGUG
rnacentral:rRNA from 1 species